rnacentral:rRNA from 1 species
UACGGAGGGUGCAAGCGUUGCUCGGAAUCAUUGGGCGUAAAGGGUGCGUAGGCGGGCCCGUAAGUCGAUUGUGAAAGACCUGGGCUUAACCUGGGAAUUGCAGUCGAAACUGCAGGUCUUGAGUGUUCGAGAGGAUGGUGGAAUUCCUGGAGUAGAAGUGAAAUUCGUAGAUAUCAGGAGGAACACCGGAGGCGAAGGCGGCCAUCUGGCGAAACACUGACGCUGAGGCACGAAAGUGCGGGGAUCAAACAGG